rnacentral:rRNA from 1 species
GAGGAAAAGAAACUAACAAGGAUUCCCCUAGUAACUGCGAGUGAAGCGGGAAAAGCUCAAAUUUAAAAUCUGGCGGUCUUUGGCUGUCCGAGUUGUAAUCUAGAGAAGUGUUAUCCGCGCUGGACCGUGUACAAGUCUCCUGGAAUGGAGCGUCACAGAGGGUGAGAAUCCCGUCUUUGACACGGACUGCCAGGGCUUUGUGAUGCGCUCUCAAAGAGUCGAGUUGUUUGGGAAUGCAGCUCAAAAUGGGUGGUAAAUUCCAUCUAAAGCUAAAUAUUGGCGAGAGACCGAUAGCGAACAAGUACCGUGAGGGAAAGAUGAAAAGAACUUUGGAAAGAGAGUUAAACAGUACGUGAAAUUGCUGAAAGGGAAACGCUUGAAGUCAGUCGCGUUGUCCGGGGAUCAACCUUGCUUUUGCUGGGUGUACUUUCCGGUUGACGGGUCAGCAUCAAUUUUGACCGCUGGAUAAAGGUUUUGGGAAAGUGGCUUCCUCGGAAGUGUUAUAGCCCAGGGUCGCAUACAACGGUUGGGAUUGAGGAACUCAGCACGCCGAAAGGCCGGGUACUUGUACCACGUUCGUGCUUAGGAUGCUGGCAUAAUGGCUUUAAUCGACCCGUCUU